rnacentral:lncRNA from 1 species
GAGAAGUAACUUAGAGUCUAUGUUAUAUUUAAAGGUAGAUAGUAAUGAAAUUUAACUUCUCUUUAUGAUUAUAGUAAAAUGAAGAUUAUGUCUAUUAUUAUUUAAAGGAUAAAAGAGAAAACAAUGCUUUUGAGACCUAAAAAUUUUUUUUAAAUUUUUUAUUAUUUGUGUGUGUGUGUGUUUUUGCCAUUUCUUGGGCCAUUUCCACAGCAUAUGGAGGUUCCCAGGCUAGGGGUUGAAUCAGAGCUGCAGCCGCCAGCCUAUGCCACAGCCACAGCAACACAGGAUCCGAGCCACGUCUGAGACCUACACCACUGAGUAAGGCCAGGGAUGGAACCCGAAACCUCAUGGUUCCUAGUCGGAUUCAUUAACCACUGAGCCACGACGGGAACUCCAUAAAAAUUUAUUUUCAUUAUUAUUAUUUUUUUCUUUUUUUUGGCUGCACUAGAGCAUAUGGAGUUCCCAGGCCAGGGAUCAGAUCCAAGCCACAGCUGUGGCAAUGUGCAGGCCAGGGAUCAAACCUAUAUCGCAGUGCUUCAGAGAUGCCACAGAUCCCAUUAUGCCACAGUGGGAACUCCUAUAUUAUUAAAUAUAUUAACAAUGUGAACAAAGCUUUAUUAUUUCAAUUCAUCAAUUAAGACAUGUUUAGCCAUGAGAUUCUAAUAAAAAUACAAGCCUUUUAUUCAGAGAUCAUACUACUAUGAUAGUAUCUAUAUCAUACUACUAUGACAUGACAGCAUUUUCAGUGUAUACUUAACAACAAAAAUGAAUUAAUGCUUUUUAUCAAAUAUCAGUUCUGUAGUGGAUGAUUAUAAUCAUUCAGUAUUUUCUUCUGCACUCUAACUUAUAUUAUCUGAGGCAAUAAACCAUUUGGCUCAGAAUCAGUAAUGAGAUGAAAUCAAACUAUUCUAGAAGGCUUGUAAGAUGUUGAGUUGUUUUCUGCUCUGUACUUAAAAUGCAAUAUCCCAGAACUGAAGCACCAAAGAUUAUAUUACUAAGAGUCAUUUAUCUAUAGUUUCAAUAACAAAGCUAGUAUAAAAUAUAAAACAAUUCAUAAUACUCUUCAGCAAAGAAGAUAACACUAAAAUAACCCUUGGGCUCCAAUUUAAGCUCACACAACAAAAAGAAACCUUGAAUUGCAAUUGCCUUUUUUUUUUUCCCCUGUACCUGUGGCAUGUGGAAGUUCCCUCGCUAGGGACUGAACCUACUACCAUCACCAUAGCUGCAGCAGUGCCAGAUCCUUAGUGCACUGUAGCACAUGGGAACUUCCUAGAAUUGUCUUUGUAGCCUCAAUUUACUCCCUAAAGAGUUAACAUGGAGGAUUAAGAUUUAAUUCUCUCUCCACAGGGAAAAAGAAGACUAUCACAAACUCAAAAAGCUGUAGACCAAAGGUCCUUCUCCUUUUUGAGAAGAAACAAUUUUUAAUGCCCCAAAGCUCAGAGAUGUUUGCUAGUGACCGACUGGAGAGGAACCAUGCCAGAUUUGCUCCAUUCUCUCAGAAUCCUAUGGGGUAUGAACAAAGUAGCCUGGUUUUGAGGUGUAAUAUUAAACUCUGAUUUAUAAUUUUUUGUGUAUGAGACAAUGAAUCUCCUGUAGGAGUGACUGUAUAAUUUUUGUGUCUUUGCAAAAAAUCCUGAAACAAAGAGCACUCUUUUGCACUGAGGAUGACCUUAAUGGGUUUGGCAUCCCAAAGAUGGGCCAAGAAUAAGUUAGGGUUUAGAAGUGAAUUUCAUUAAAUCAAAACUGCCGCAGUAUAUAUAAUGCGGAGGAAAGUGUGAUAUUCUCAAAUCAGGGGCAGUGUAAGACAGAGGUCUGAGAAGAAAAAAAGAUUUUAGUGAGGAUUAUCUCUUGUGGUUUUAUUGGGUGGAGUAGAGUUAAAAUUAAAAAAAAGGUGUGCUGUUCUCUGUGAGGUUCUGUGGAAGGUACAAGAUGAAUGCCUGCCCUGUCUCACUGUUACUCCCCACAUUCUGCAAAGCAACUGAAUAACAAAAGUACUGUGAGAGUGGAAUUUGCAGGGGGAAGGAGGUUGAAAUUGAGCAGAGGUUACAUUUUAUGUUUAGUUGAUGCUGCUAGGGAUAAAGUGCUUGAGAAAUGGCAUGAGUAAGAUCUUCCAAGUAUGCAGAACCAAGAGAUCAGUGCCAGAGAGGAGCAGACAAAUAAAACUUCACAGACAUCACAGUGACCUUGGGGAAGGCCUUGAGACUUGAGCAGAGUAUCUGGAUUACAAUGGACAUGGAAACCUCAGUUGAAACUGAGUUACAAAGAUUGAUCAGAGUGCCUGGCCCAGACCUUGGAUGUUAGUCAGAGUAGGCUAGCUGGUGUAACAAAGGGCCCCCAAAUCUCAGUGAUUUAUAAAUAAAAUGACCAAUAAAAGUUUAUUUUUGCUUAUAUAAUAGUCCAAUAUGAAUCUAUAGCUUUAAUAGCAAAGCUAGUUUUAAAUAUAAAGCCAUUCAUCAAGUUUCUUUUUUCUUUUUUCUUUUUUUUUGGCCUUUUUGCGUUUUCUAGGGCUGCACCUGCGGCAUAUGGAGGUUCCCAGGCUAGGGGUCGAAUCAGAGCUGUAGCCGCUGACUUAUACCACAACCACAGUAACACCAGAUCCAAGCUGAGUCUGCGACCUACACCACAACUCAUGGCAACGCUGGAUCCUUAACCCACUGAGCAAGGCCAGGGAUCGAACCCGACACCUCGUGGUUCCUAGUCGGAUUCAUUAACCACUAAGCCACAAGGGGAACUCCUCAUCAAGUUUCUUGAUAAUGAAGUCCCACUGAAAUAACUCUUAGGCUCCAACUUCAACUUAUAUCACAAAGUGAAACCUUGAAUUAGAAUUAGGGGAGGUGCUCUGCCCCAUGCAGGGUGUCAGACUCCUCUAGCAGAUCCUCAGAUAACAAUAAAUGAGAGUGAAACGCCUGCUUUUAACUGCCAUGGCCUGAAAGGGCCACCCAUCACUCUGCUUACAAUCCACUGAAUAGAGCUUUUCAGAGUCUCUUUGCAGAUGUAAUGGGCCCGGGCCCUGCAGACCAGCCAUGCGAAUUAAUGAGGCUGGAAGCAUGGGUAACAGGGAAUAGCUGGCUAGUCUCCACAGUUCUCAGUAAAUAUUUGCUAGUUUAAAUUAACUACUUCUUUCCAUCACCUGUUUAUGAACCAUUCUAGGCCUUAUACUAGAACCUUGCUAAGACUGGCUAUGGCGAAACAGCUCCCUGUUUACGAUUCCUAGACAACAACGGUUUAUAACAAGAAACACCUAAGGGGCACAAUUCCUUAACCCAAAGCAAUGUGUUGAGGAUGGUGAAAAGGCGGUAGUCCUGACCUAUAUCCUCUAAAGUUGCAUUUAUAAAUACUUGACUGUUGUGACUAGUGAUGUGUUUUUACCUCUCUGGGAGCAACAUCUGCCAUGUAACACGUUUUAUCUACAAACACUUCUUCUCUGUAAGAUUCCUCUAAGUGCUUUACUAAUGCCAACUCAUUGAAUCCUUACAAUCCUAUGCGGCACACAAUAUUUAGCUCCAUUUUACAAUUGAGAAAACUAAGGCACAGAGAGGACAGAAAACUGUGAGUAAUAGCUCAUAUGUGAUAGUUCAGAGAUUCAAAACCAGGCAGUUGGAAUGAAAAGACUGAACUCAAACUCCCACCCCAUGCUACUUCCCCUCUUGUCAGCCUCUUCCUCCCCUUUCCACACUUGAGUUUGCACCCAGAACAUUAUGUGCACAAUAGGGGUUUGUCUAAAAUUUCCACAGGGGCAUUGUUCUUUCACAUUGCUUCUGGUUGAUAGUCACAGAUGGAAAUAAAGCCUGAUAAGCAUAUAUUUUGGGAUCAACAAUCAAAUUCCAGAAACCCUUAAUCCAUCCUAGAUUAGAUUAAAGCAAUAAAGAGAAUUCCAAGCUCUAAUAGCAGACUGUUAGAAAAGAAAGAGGGAGGUGUCUUUUACCCUUACCUACAAAUCAUAUACUAUUCAUUCAUUCGACCAACCUUUAUUAAGUUCCCUCGAAAGUCAUGAGGUACAAUGGUGUGCAAGAUAGACAUGGUUCUUGCGCUCAUGAAACUUUUGGCCAAUAAAGGAGAUAUACUUGAAUCAAAUAUGUUUACAAACAGAUAAUUAAUUACAAUUGUAUAAGCUCUAUGAAAAAGUAUGAGUAUACAUGAGUGGGAAAUGUUAGCAAGUCUGAAGAUUCAGGCAAGGCUUGCUUCCCCCAAAAUGUAACAUUUGAGUCAUAGCUAAAUAAGUCAAAGGAGGCAUAAGGAGGGGAAGAAUAUUUCAAGCAAAAGCAACAUCCUGAGUAAAGGCUCUUCAGGGGGAAGGAGGUGGGGCUUUGGAGGGAACUGAAGAAAGUCGAAUGUGGGAGAGGGAGGCAUGAGAAAGAUAGAAAAGCAGGCAGAGGAUCCUGAAGAGGCUCACUAGAGAAUUUUGGUGUUAUUCCAAGAGUAAUGAAAAUCCAGUGAAGGAUUUUAGGCAGGGAAAGUCACAUGAUCAGAUUUUCAUUUUAAUUAAUUAAUUAAUUAAUUAGGGCCGUGUCCACAGCAUAUGGAAGUUCUCAGGCUAGUGUUUCAAUCACAGCUGCAGCUGCUAGCUUAUACCACAGCCACGGCAAUGCCAGAUCCAAGCCACAUCUGUGACCUACACCACAGCUUACAGCUCACUGCAAUGCUGUAUCCUUAACCUACUGAACAAGGCCAGGGACCAAACCUGCAUCCUCAUGGAUACUAGUUGGGUUUGCUGCCACUGAGCCACAAUGGGAACUCCAGAUUUUCAUUUAGACAGAUUGUUUUGGCAGACAGAUUUGAGAGGUUUGUAGUGGAAGUAGGUGGAUCAUUUUGGAGGCUACUGCAAUUGUCUAUAGAGAUUUGCACCUAUACAACUGACUGCAUCUUUGUAUGAGGUAGUCCUUGCCAAUGGCUUGAAACUCAAGAAUGCUGUUGGAAGGAAUGUAAAUUGAUACAACCACUAUGGAAAACAGUAUGGAGGUUCCUCAGAAAACUAAAUAUAGAACUACCAAAUGAUCCAGCAAUCCCACUCCUGAACAAAUAUCCAGACAAAAUUGAACUCAGAAGGAUACAGGCACGUAUGUGUUCAUAACAGCACCAUUCACAAAACCCAAGACAUGGAAGCAACCUGAAUGUCCACUGUAAGGUGAAUGAAUUAAGAAGGUGUGGUACAUAUAUACAAUGGAAUACUACUCAUCCAUAAAAAGAACAAAAUAAUGUCAUUUGCAGCAACAUAGAUGCAACUAGAGAUUAUCAUACUAAGUGAAGUAAGUCAGAAAGAGACACCAUAUGAUAUCACUUAUAUGUGAGAUCUAAAAUAUGGCACAAAAAGAACUGAUCUACAAAACAGAAGCAGACUCACAGACAUAGAGAACAGACUUGUGGUUGCCAAGAAGGAGGGGGAAGGGGAGAGGAAGUGGGAUGGACGGAGAGUUUGGGGUUAGUAGAUGCAAACUAUUACAUUUAGAGUGGAUAAGCAAUGAGGUCCUAUUUUAUAGUGCAGGGAACUCUAUCUAGUCUUUUGGGAUAGACCACCAUGAAAGAUAAUAUAAGAAAAGGAACUUAUAUAUAAGUAUGACUGGGUCCCUUUGCUGUACAGCAGAAAUUGGCACAACACUGUAAAUCAACUACACUUUAAUCAAAAAAAAAAAA